UACGGAGGGGGUUAGCGUUGUUCGGAAUUACUGGGCGUAAAGCGCGCGUAGGCGGAUUAGAAAGUUGGGGGUGAAAUCCCGGGGCUCAACCUCGGAACUGCCUCCAAAACUGCUAGUCUAGAGUGUCGGAGAGGUAAGCGGAAUUCCAAGUGUAGAGGUGAAAUUCGUAGAUAUUUGGAGGAACACCAGUGGCGAAGGCGGCUCACUGGCUCGAUACUGACGCUGAGGUGCGAAAGUGUGGGGAGCAAACAGG
rnacentral:rRNA from 1 species